rnacentral:lncRNA from 1 species
UCUCAUGUAUAUAUGGUCCCAUUAAAAUCACAAAUUAAUAAUCUACCUAUAUAUAUUUGAUAUAAGUACAAACUAAAAAUUAUCUUUUUGGUUUUAUAUUCACAAUGAAAAUACCUAUAUAUAUUCUUAACAUUUCAAUAUACUUUGAUAAUAUUUAGUAAAAUUAUAUUGAAACCAUAUUUAAAUUAUAUGAAACAUAAUAAAAUACACU